rnacentral:rRNA from 1 species
UACAGAGGUCUCAAGCGUUGUUCGGAUUCAUUGGGCGUAAAGGGUGCGUAGGCGGCGCGGUAAGUCGGGUGUGAAAUCUCGGAGCUUAACUCCGAAACUGCAUUCGAUACUGCCGUGCUUGAGGACUGGAGAGGAGACUGGAAUUCACGGUGUAGCAGUGAAAUGCGUAGAUAUCGUGAGGAAGGCCAGUGGCGAAGGCGAGUCUCUGGACAGUUCCUGACGCUGAGGCACGAAGGCCAGGGGAGCAAACGGG